rnacentral:tRNA from 1 species
GGGUAUAGCUCAGUGGUAGAGUGCAUGCUUUAGCGUGCACAAGGUCCUGGGUUCAAUCCCCAGUACCUCCA